rnacentral:rRNA from 1 species
AUUGAACGCUGGCGGCAGGCCUAACACAUGCAAGUCGAGCGGAGCGGCGGACGGGUGAGUAAUGCCUAGGAAUCUGCCUGGUAGUGGGGGAUAACGUCCGGUAACGGGCGCUAAUACCGCAUCCUAUCAGAUUAGCCUAGGUCGGAUUAGCUAGUUGGUGGGGUAAAGGCCUACCAGGGCGACGAUCCGUAACUGGUCUGAGAGGAUGAUCAGUCACACUGGAACGGAGACACGGUCCAGACUCCGACGGGAGGCAGCAGUGGGGAAUAUUGGACAAUGGGGGAAAGCCUGAUGCAGCCAUGCCGCGUGUGUGAAGAAGGUCUUCGGAUUGUAAAGCACUUUAAGUUGGGAGGCGUUACCAACAGAAGAAGCACCGGCUAACUCCGUGCCAGCAGCCGCGGUAAUUC